UGCCAAGAAGCUGGAUACUGGAGAGUCUGGGGGAGGCUAAAAUGAAGUCGUAAUAAGUCAGGUCCUGGGUCCCCUAAGAAGUCCUGUCCAGGAGCGGCUCCAGGCCACAGUGAGAAAGAAAGAGGGAGAGAGAGCAAGAGCCUACCUGCCUGAAUGUCCCUGGCUGUGUGUCCAGUUGUACUCCAAGGCUAAAUAUAUUAUUCAAGGCCCUGCUUUUUGGUGCCUGCCAUUGGUCAAACCUAACCCGAAGCCAGAGGGCAAGGGAACCUGUUGAUGCAGUCCACAAAGGUCAGCCUACCAGGGCACACAGCUGGGUGGAGAAGGGUAAAGAAGAUCUGGAGGGGCGCAUGGAAAAUAUCCAGAACCGCUGGAUAGCUC